GAUGAAGAACGUAGCGAAAUGCGAUAAGUAAUGUGAAUUGCAGAAUUCAGUGAAUCAUCGAAUCUUUGAACGCACCUUGCGCUCUUUGGUAUUCCGAAGAGCAUGCCUGUUUGAGUGUCAUGAAAAUAUCAACCUUGACUUGGGUUUUGUGCUCUAGUCUCGGCUUGGAAUUGGGUGCUUGCCGCUUUUACGAGCGGCUCACCUUAAAUGUAUUAGCUGGAUCUGUCUUUGAGACUUGGUUUGACUUGGCGUAAUAAGUAUUUAGCUAAGGACAUUCUUCGGAGUGGCCUCGUUUCUAGGACGCUUGUCCGCUUUCCAAUACAAGUUCCACCUCGUGGACAUGACUUUUUAUUAUCUGGCCUCAAAUCAGGUAGGACUACCCGCUGAACUUAAGCAUAUCAAUAAGCGGAGGA
rnacentral:misc_RNA from 1 species